rnacentral:rRNA from 1 species
AGUCGACGGUGAUGAAGAGCUUGCUCUUUGGAUCAGUGGCGAACGGGUGAGUAACACGUGAGCAAUCUGCCCUUGACUCUGGGAUAACUGCGGGAAACUGUAGCUAAUACCGGAUACGACCUUGGAAGGCAUCUUCUGGGGUGGAAAGAAUUUUGGUCAAGGAUGAGCUCGCGGCCUAUCAGCUAGUUGGUGAGGUAAUGGCUCACCAAGGCGACGACGGGUAGCCGGCCUGAGAGGGUGACCGGCCACACUGGGACUGAGACACGGCCCAGACUCCUACGGGAGGCAGCAGUGGGGAAUAUUGCACAAUGGGCGAAAGCCUGAUGCAGCAACGCCGCGUGAGGGACGAAGGCCUUCGGGUUGUAAACCUCUUUUAGUAGGGAAGAAGCGACUGGGUUUUCCUGGAAGUGACGGUACCUGCAGAAAAAGCACCGGCUAACUACGUGCCAGCAGCCGCGGUAAUACGUAGGGUGCAAGCGUUGUCCGGAAUUAUUGGGCGUAAAGAGCUCGUAGGCGGUUUGUCGCGUCUGCUGUGAAAACCCGAGGCUCAACCUCGGGCCUGCAGUGGGUACGGGCAGACUAGAGUGCGGUAGGGGAGAUUGGAAUUCCUGGUGUAGCGGUGGAAUGCGCAGAUAUCAGGAGGAACACCAAUGGCGAAGGCAGAUCUCUGGGCCGUAACUGACGCUGAGGAGCGAAAGCAUGGGGAGCG